AGUCCCCGGACACGGGGGCAGGGUGGAGAAUACCACGUCUGCCUCUGUCCCACUACCGCCUUCUCAGAUAAGUACCAGCUCACCCACCUCCUGUGUCUGCUGUCCCCAAACACUUGCAUCUUUCUUAGCUCCUUCUGAAGAGACCAGCCUACGGACCUCACAGCAUCCCAGAUGGUCACUCAGAACCCAGCUUGACCAGGCCCCAGAGAGGGAGAGGAAGGGGAAUGGAGAGCACGAACUACCCCUCAACCCCCAUGAGCUCACCUCCCUGAGGCAGGAACAUCAACCAGGCUGCAAGAAGCAGAGAGGCAGGGGGAAUGGGGAGAAGUGCAAAGCUAGCAACAGGCGGCCUGGGCGGAGCCUGGGGCGCUCCAGCCUCCUGCAUCCAGUGAGACCUCUCCUCCACCAACCCCCGCAGGUAUGCGGGGUGAUUCACUGCGCCCAGACCGCGGGACGGGGCGGGACCCGGGGGGGCUGUCCGCUAUCCUCCCCCAGCCCCUCUUGCC